rnacentral:rRNA from 1 species
UGGUGCAAUCAUACCAGAACUAAUGCACCGGAUCUCAUCAAAAUUCUAGAGUUAAGCGUGUUUGGGCGAGAGUAGUACUUAGAUGGGUGACCUCCUAGGAAGUCUUCGUAUUGCACCAC